UGCUCAGCAACUCCUAUCCCUACCUCCUCAUGGUACGAGUAACCUUGGGGAAGAUCGGGUAACCAACUCCCGGUUGGAACUUUGGUCGUAUGCUGACAGGGAAGG
rnacentral:ribozyme from 1 species